rnacentral:rRNA from 1 species
GACGAACGCUGGCGGCGUGCUUAACACAUGCAAGUCGAGAGGAGCGGCGAACGGGUGAGUAACGCGAGAGUAACUGCCCCCCUCUCUGGGAUAACAGUUGGGAAAGGCUGCUAAUAACGGAUAGAGGGGGAUGACUCGCGUCCUAUCAGCUUGUUGGGGGGGUAGUGGCCUACCAAUGCGACGACGGGUCGCCGGCCUGAGAGGGCGAACGGCCACAUUGGGCUGAGAUACGGCCCGAACUCCUACGGGGGGCAGCAGUGGGGAAUAUUGCACCAUGGGGGAAACCCUGAUGCAGCAACGCGCGUGCGGGAUGACGGCCGUCGGGUUGUAAACCGCUUUCAGCCAUGACGCGGUAGUGGCAGAAGAAGCACCGGCUAACUACGUGCCAGCAGCCGCGGUAAUUC